UCUUCGGGCGCCUGGAUCAAAGAUGGCCUCUCCAUGGAAGCUGUUGUUCGAAGAUGAGCCCGCGUCCCAUUAGCUUGUUGGUGGGGUAAAGGCCCACCAAGGCGACGAUGGGUAGCUGGUCUGAGAGGAUGAUCAGCCACACUGGCACUGACACACGGGCCAGACUCCUACGGGAGGCAGCAGUGAGGAAUUUUGCGCAAUGGGGGUAACCCUGACGCAGCAACGCCGCGUGAGUGAAGAAGGCCUUCGGGUCGUAAAGCUCUGUCGAGUGGGAAGAACCCGCAUCAGGUGACAAGGCUGAUGCGCUGACGGUACCACUGGAGGAAGCACCGGCUAACUCCGUGCCAGCAGCCGUGGUAAUACGGAGGGUGCAAGCGUUAUUCGGAAUUACUGGGCGUAAAGGGCGCGCAGGCGGCCUGGUAAGUCAGUAGUGAAAGCCCGGGGCUCAACCCCGGAAGUGCUGCUGAAACUGUUGGGCUUGAGUAUGGUAGAGGGAAGCGGAAUUCCUGGUGUAGCGGUGAAAUGCGUAGAUAUCAGGAGGAACACCGGUGGCGAAGGCGGCUUCCUGGACCAAUACUGACGCUGAGGCGCGAAGGCGUGGGUAGCAAACAGGAUUAGAUACCCUGGUAGUCCACGCAGUACACGGUGAUCACUAGGUCUUGCGGGUAUUGAUACUUGCAGUGCCGGAGCUAACGCAUUAAGUGAUCCGCCUGGGGAGUACGGCCGCAAGGUUAAAACUCAAAGGAAUUGACGGGGGCCCGCACAAGCGGUGGAGCAUGUGGUUUAAUUCGACGCAACGCGAAGAACCUUACCUGGCUUUGACAUCUGGGGGAUCCCAUGGAAACAUGGGGGUGCCCUUCGGGGAGCCCCAAGACAGGUGCUGCAUGGCUGUCGUCAGCUCGUGUCGUGAGAUGUUGGGUUAAGUCCCGCGACGAGCGCAACCCCUGUCUUCAGUUACCAGCGAUUCGGUCGGGGACUCUGAAGAUACUGCCCCGGUUAACGGGGAGCAAGCUGGGGAUGACGUCAAGUCCUCAUGGCCUUUAUGCCCAGGGCUACACACGUGCUACAAUGGGCGGUACAGAGGGUAGCGAGAUCGCGAGAUGGAGCCAAUCUCAUGAAGCCGUCCUCAGUUCGGAUUGGAGUCUGCAACUCGACUCCAUGAAGUUGGAAUCGCUAGUAAUCGCGGAUCAGCAUG
rnacentral:rRNA from 1 species